rnacentral:misc_RNA from 1 species
GAGAAGAACGCAGCGAAAUGCGAUAAGUAGUGUGAAUUGCAGAAUUCAGUGAAUCAUCGAAUCUUUGAACGCACAUUGCGCCCCUUGGUAUCCCGAGGGGCAUGCCUGUUCGAGCGUCAUUUCACCACUCAAGCCUGGCUUGGUGUUGGGCGACGUCCUCUUUGGGGACGCGCCUCGAAACGCUCGGCGGCGUGGCACCGGCUUUAAGCGUAGCAGAAUCUUUCGCUUUGGAAGUCGGGGCCCCGUCUGCCGGAAGACCUGCUCGCAAGGUUGACCUCGGAUCAGGCAGGGAUACCCGCUGAACUUAAGCAUAUCAAUAAGCGGAGGA